UACAGAGGUCUCAAGCGUUGUUCGGAUUUACUGGGCGUAAAGGGCGCGUAGGCGGCCACUGCAAGUCGGUUGUGAAAUCUCCGGGCUUAACCCGGAAAGGUCAACCGAUACUGCAGGGCUAGAGUGCAGAAGGGGCAACUGGAAUUCUCGGUGUAGCGGUGAAAUGCGUAGAUAUCGAGAGGAACACCUGCGGCGAAGGCGGGUUGCUGGGCUGACACUGACGCUGAUGCGCGAAAGCUAGGGGAGCGAACGGG
rnacentral:rRNA from 1 species